UGGGGAAUAUUGCACAAUGGGCGCAAGCCUGAUGCAGCCAUGCCGCGUGUGUGAAGAAGGCCUUCGGGUUGUAAAGCACUUUCAGCGGGGAGGAAGGCGUUAAGGUUAAUAACCUUGGCGAUUGACGUUACCCGCAGAAGAAGCACCGGCUAACUCCGUGCCAGCAGCCGCGGUAAUACGGAGGGUGCAAGCGUUAAUCGGAAUUACUGGGCGUAAAGCGCACGCAGGCGGUCUGUCAAGUCGGAUGUGAAAUCCCCGGGCUCAACCUGGGAACUGCAUUAGAAACUGGCAGGCUAGAGUCUUGUAGAGGGGGGUAGAAUUCCAUGUGUAGCGGUGAAAUGCGUAGAGAUGUGGAGGAAUACCGGUGGCGAAGGCGGCCCCCUGGACAAAGACUGACGCUCAGGUGCGAAAGCGUGGGGAGCAAACAGG
rnacentral:rRNA from 1 species